GACGGAGGAUGCAAGCGUUAUCCGGAAUGAUUGGGCGUAAAGCGUCCGCAGGUGGCAGUUCAAGUCUGCUGUCAAAGACCGGGGCUUAACUUCGGAAAGGCAGUGGAAACUGAACAGCUAGAGUGUGGUAGGGGAGAUCGGAAUUCCUGGUGUAGCGGUGAAAUGCGCAGAUAUCAGGAGGAACACCGGUGGCGAAGGCGGAUCUCUGGGCCGUAACUGACGCUGAGGAGCGAAAGCAUGGGGAGCGAACAGG
rnacentral:rRNA from 1 species